AUUGAACGCUAGCGGGAUGCCUUACACAUGCAAGUCGAACGACGGCGCGGACUUCUGUCUGGCGCCUAGUGGCGAACGGGUGAGAAAUGUACCGGCACGUACCCAGUGGCAGGGGAUAAAUACGCGAAAGCGUACCUAAUACCGCAUACGCCCUACGGGGGAAUGACAUGAAUCCUAAGACCUUGCAAGAUUAGUGCGCCCGAUAUCGGAUAAUCUAGUUGGUGAGGUAACGGCUCACCAAGGCAACGAUCCGUAGCUGGUUUGAGAGGACGACCAUCCACACUGGGACUGAGACACGGCCCAGACUCCUACGGUAGGCAGCAGUGGGGAAUUUUGGACAAGGGGGGCAACCCUGAUCCAGCCAAGCCGCGUGGGGGAUGAAGGCCUUCGGGUUGUAAAGCUCUUUUGGUAGGGAAGAAAAGUCGCGGGCUAAAACCGCGUUUAGCUGACGGUACCUGCAGAAUAAGCACCGGCUAACUACGUG
rnacentral:rRNA from 1 species